UACGAAGGGGGCUAGCGUUGUUCGGAAUUACUGGGCGUAAAGGGCGCGUAGGCGGUACUUCAAGUCAGGCGUGAAAGCCCCGGGCUCAAUCUGGGAACCGCGCUUGAGACUGGAGAACUAGAGUUCGGGAGAGGAUGGUGGAAUUCCCAGUGUAGAGGUGAAAUUCGUAGAUAUUGGGAAGAACACCGAUGGCGAAGGCAGCCAUCUGGACCGACACUGACGCUGAGGCGCGAAAGCGUGGGGAGCAAACAGG
rnacentral:rRNA from 1 species